AAAGUCAAAUAGACGUGAAAUUGUUGAAAGGGAAACGAUUAAAGUCAGUCGUACCGGCGGUAAUCAGCCAUUUGGGUGCGAUUACGUCGGGUGAUGAGGAGCUUAACCGCCUUCACGCUUGCGUAUUUGUGCCCUAUCGGUGUAUUUAUUCGCAUGGUAGGUUAACAUCAAUUUCGGUCGUUAUAAAAUGAUGGGAGGAAUGUAGCUUCAAUCCCGUAUUGAAGUGUUAUAGCCUCUGGUAGAUGUGAUGACUGGGAUUGAGGAUUGCAACGAACCCUUUGGGCUACCUGUCUGGCUUCUGGUGGUCGCUCUGGUGCCGAAAGCUUGCUUAUGGUUAUCGAAGUUGGUUGCCAAAAGGUUAGAACGGGUUAAUUUUGUUAAGGAUGUUGACGUAAUGGCUUUAAACGA
rnacentral:misc_RNA from 1 species